rnacentral:rRNA from 1 species
AGUGAACGCUGGCGGUAGGCCUAACACAUGCAAGUCGAACGGCAGCACAGUAAGAGCUUGCUCUUACGGGUGGCGAGUGGCGGACGGGUGAGGAAUACAUCGGAAUCUACUUUUUCGUGGGGGAUAACGUAGGGAAACUUACGCUAAUACCGCAUACGACCUACGGGUGAAAGCAGGGGAUCUUCUGACCUUGCGCGAAUGAAUGAGCCGAUGUCGGAUUAGCUAGUUGGCGGGGUAAAGGCCCACCAAGGCGACGAUCCGUAGCUGGUCUGAGAGGAUGAUCAGCCACACUGGAACUGAGACACGGUCCAGACUCCUACGGGAGGCAGCAGUGGGGAAUAUUGGACAAUGGGCGCGAGCCUGAUCCAGCCAUACCGCGUGGGUGAAGAAGGCCUUCGGGUUGUAAAGCCCUUUUGUUGGGAAAGAAAAGCAGCAGGUUAAUACCCCGCUGUUCUGACGGUACCCAAAGAAUAAGCACCGGCUAACUUCGUG